GAUGAACGCUGGCGGCGUGCCUAAUACAUGCAAGUCGAGCGAAUGGAUUAAGAGCUUGCUCUUAUGAAGUUAGCGGCGGACGGGUGAGUAACACGUGGGUAACCUGCCCAUAAGACUGUGAUAACUCCGGGAAACCGGGGCUAAUACCGGAUAACAUUUUGAACCGCAUGGUUCGAAAUUGAAAGGCGGCUUCGGCUGUCACUUAUGGAUGGACCCGCGUCGCAUUAGCUAGUUGGUGAGGUAACGGCUCACCAAGGCAACGAGGCGUAGCCGACCGGAGGGGGUGAUCGGCCACACGGGGACUUAGCACCGGCCCAGACGACUACGGGAGGCAGCAGUAGGGAAUCUUCCGCAAUGGACGAAAGUCUGACGGAGCAACGCCGCGUGAGUGAUGAAGGCUUUCGGGUCGUAAAACUCUGUUGUUAGGGAAGAACAAGUGCUAGUUGAAUAAGCUGGCACCUUGACGGUACCUAACCAGAAAGCCACGGCUAACUACGUGCCAGCAGCCGCCGUAA
rnacentral:rRNA from 1 species